UACAGAGGUCUCAAGCGUUGUUCGGAUUCAUUGGGCGUAAAGGGUGCGUAGGCGGCGGAGUAAGUUGGGUGUGAAAUCCCGGGGCUUAACCUCGGAAUGGCAUUCAAUACUGCUUCGCUUGAGUACUGGAGAGGAGGCUGGAAUUUACGGUGUAGCAGUGAAAUGCGUAGAUAUCGUAAGGAAGGCCGGUGGCGAAAGCGAGCCUCUGGACAGUUACUGACGCUGAUGCACGAAGGCCAGGGGAGCAAACGGG
rnacentral:rRNA from 1 species